rnacentral:rRNA from 1 species
AGGAUUAACGCUGGCGGCGUGCCUAACACAUGCAAGUCGAACGAGGUAGCAAUACCUAGUGGCAGACGGGUGAGUAACGCGUGGUCAACCUACCGUUGAGUGGGGGAUAACUAGCCGAAAGGUUAGCUAAUACCGCAUACGUCUCCGAGGGGCAUCCCUUGGCGAUAAAAGGAGCAAUCCGCUCGAUGACGGGACCGCGUCCCAUUAGCUAGAUGGUGGGGUAACGGCCUACCAUGGCACCGAUGGGUAGCUGGUUUGAGAGAGCGACCAGCCACACUGGGACUGAGAAACGGCCCAGACUCCUACGGGAGGCAGCAGUGAGGAAUUUUCCGCAAUGGGCGCAAGCCUGACGGAGCGACGCCGCGUGUGGGAAGAAGGCCUUCGGGUCGUAAACCACUGUCGAAGGGACGAUAAUGACGGUACCCUUGGAGGAAGCCCGGCUAACGUACGUGCCAGCAGCCGC